UUUGACGGAGAGUUUGAUCCUGGCUCAGGACGAACGCUUGCGGCGUACCUAACGAAUGCGAGUCGAGCGAGGUGGGCUCAUCCGAGCGGCUUCGGCCGUUCACCGGGCCCACCUAGCGGCAAACGGGUGAGUAACACGUGGGUAACCUACCCCCCGGUGGGGAAUAGCCGGGAGAAAUCCCGGGUAAUCCCGCAUACGCUGGCCGGUCGCAUGACUGGUCAGGAAAGGCCCUUCGGGGUCGCCGGGGGAUGGGCCCGCGGC
rnacentral:rRNA from 1 species